CCUGAUGCAGCGACGCCGCGUGAGGGAUGACGGCCUUCGGGUUGUAAACCUCUUUCAAUAGGGACGAAGCGCAUGUGACGGUACCUAUAGAAGAAGGACCGGCCAACUACAUGCCAGCAGCCGCGGUAAUACGUAGGGUCCGAGCGUUGUCCGGAAUUACUGGGCGUAAAGAGCUCGUAGGUGGUUUGUCGCGUUGUUCGUGAAAACUCACAGCUUAACUGUGGGCGUGCGGGCGAUACGGGCAGACUAGAGUACUGCAGGGGAGACUGGAAUUCCUGGUGUAGCGGUGGAAUGCGCAGAUAUCAGGAGGAACACCGGUGGCGAAGGCGGGUCUCUGGGCAGUAACUGACGCUGAGGAGCGAAAGCGUGGGGAGCGAACAGGAUUAGAUACCCUGGUAGUCCACGCCGUAAACGGUGGGUACUAGGUGUGGGUUUCCUUCCUUGGGAUCCGUGCCGUAGCUGACGCAUUAAGUACCCCGCCUGGGGAGUACGGCCGCAAGGCUAAAACUCAAAGAAAUUGACGGGGGCCCGCACAAGCGGCGGAGCAUGUGGAUUAAUUCGAUGCAACGCGAAGAACCUUACCUGGGUUUGACAUGCACAGGACGCCGUAUAGAUAUUGGUUCCCUUGUGGCCUGUG
rnacentral:rRNA from 1 species